AUUAAUAAAUUAAAAAAUUGCAACAAUGUAUCAAGAUUAUCAUGGUUCCUGGGAAAGGAUGACAUGCAAAUAUAUGAAGUGUUCCAUAUUUUU
ensembl:snRNA U6 U6 spliceosomal RNA